CCAGACUCCUACGGGAGGCAGCAGUGGGGGAUAUUGCACAAUGGGGGGAACCCUGAUGCAGCGACGCCGCGUGGGUGAAGAAGCGCCUCGGCGCGUAAAGCCCUGUCAGCAGGGAAGAAAAUGACGGUACCUGAAGAAGAAGCCCCGGCUAACUACGUGCCAGCAGCCGCGGUAAUACGUAGGGGGCAAGCGUUAUCCGGAUUUACUGGGUGUAAAGGGAGCGUAGACGGUGAUGCAAGUCAGAAGUGAAAGCCCGGGGCUCAACUCCGGGACUGCUUUUGAAACUGUGUAACUGGAGUGCAGGAGAGGUAAGCGGAAUUCCUGGUGUAGCGGUGAAAUGCGUAGAUAUCAGGAGGAACACCAGUGGCGAAGGCGGCUUACUGGACUGUAACUGACGUUGAGGCUCGAAAGCGUGGGGAGCAAACAGGAUUAGAUACCCGAGUA
rnacentral:rRNA from 1 species